rnacentral:tRNA from 1 species
GUCCCUGUAGCGCAAUGGAUGGCGAGUUGGACUUCUAAUCCGAAGGUCGUGGAUUCAACUCCCGCCUGGGAUG